rnacentral:sRNA from 1 species
AAUCAUCGAAGCGACGCACUCCUCCUCCCAGUGUCGUUUCGAGAGGAUCGGCAAUACUCCUCCUCCUCCCAAUUGCCGAUCGAGUUUAAGAGCCUGGCGCACCUCCUCCCGCGCCGGGCUCUUUUC